rfam:Opisthocomus hoazin contig58504, whole genome shotgun sequence.
GGUAGUGUGGCCGAGCGGUCUAAGGCGCUGGAUUAAGGCUCCAGCCUCUUUGGGGGCGUGGGUUUGAAUCCCACCGCUGCCA